AUUUCGCGCCGCACUCGUCGCUCGCUGGUUCGGUGGGCUUGGGGCCAGCUUUUAAAAGGUAAAGGGAGGUGUUUUGACAGUGUUUUUCAUGUCUAUUACUGAGAGUUGCUGAACGAGAACUUUAGAAAAGUAUUUAGUUCAAUUUCUCUCUAGUUUGCGGUUUAUCGUCGGAAUUUGACGUGUUCUUGUUCCGUUGCUUCCAGCAGAGUUUGUCUGGGGUUCUUGCAGCUAGAAAGGAGAUAUCUAGCUGUGAUUUACCCACGUUGAUCCAGGGAAAAGUUACCCUGAGGCUUGAUACAGGUUUCCAAAUUCAGUUUAACUAAAUUGAGGACCCGGGGAUCUGGUUUGGAGGAUGUUCUAACCAAGGCAGGAGUGCGAUCGAGCCUGGGAUCAUCUUCAGUUGACUUGUGAGGGCCCUU